rnacentral:rRNA from 1 species
UACGAAGGGUGCAAGCGUUACUCGGAAUUACUGGGCGUAAAGCGUGCGUAGGUGGUUCGUUAAGUCUGAUGUGAAAUCCCUCGGCUUAACCGGGGAACUGCGUCUGAUACUGGAUGGCUUGAGUUUGGGUGAGGGAUGCGGAAUUCCAGGUGUAGCGGUGAAAUGCGUAGAUAUCUGGAGGAACACCGGUGGCAAAGGCGGCAUCCUGGACCAACACUGACGCUGAGGAGCGAAAGCCAGGGGAGCAAACGGG